rnacentral:lncRNA from 1 species
CUCAGGCUUCCGGUCUGUUUGGUGCCCUGGUCGCGUGUCUUCCGAACUCUGCUGCUUCGCCCCGGCAAGAGCACUUCCUUCCGCGGCUGCUAAAACUGGUGCGCGGGUUCCCAACUUCGCAGAAGAGCUUCAUCGGCCCCCCGCUAGAGACCUCAGACCGCAGCCAUCGACGCCUCGCCUCGGGGAUCUGUCCCCACCCUCGGGGCCAGCUCACCAUGAGUCAGGCCCUGUGCUAGGUGCUGGGAUGAAGCAGUGACUGACACAGGCCUGGACCUGUCCUUGGGAAGAGUGCGUCUGUGACACAGAUACUGUGCCAUGUGGCAAAACUUGAAUGGAGACAUCAGCUCUUUGUGGGUCUCAAGUCUACUGGCUUUCAAUCAGCUCUUCUGCUUGACAGCUGCAGGUCUUGGGACUGCCCAGCCCCCAUAACCCUGUGAGUGCAUUCCUGAUAAUAACCCUCUUUCUCUUGUCCUCCCCCACCCCACAUCAUUGGUUCUGUUUCUCUGGAGAACCAUAAUACAUCAUUUACUAAUCAGGAAAUAGAUUCAGAGACAUUAAUAACUCAUCCAACCUCACAGUUAACUGUAGAGUUGGGCUUGAAAUUCCAAGGUCGAUUUUCUUAGCCAAUACACCAUGCUACAUAUAUGUAUGUAAAAAUAAAAACGCUUGUGAACUGAAAAG